UUGCAAGAUGAAAAAGAGCAUCUGCUCGAUAACCCAGCUCUUCGAGAAGGGAGUAACGCCCCAACACUCUAUGAGAACAAAUCCUUUUCUGAACA
rnacentral:snoRNA from 1 species